AGCGUCUCACGGAACCCAGCUGCCUUUGAACUUACCGUGUUGCCGCCAAGCACGACCCUGGACUGCUCCUCUACCUCCAAGGGCCAGAAUUGCAGAUGGUGCCCACCACACCUGGUUCUGAACUCCGUGCACACGAGCAGCUCCACCACAUCCCCUCGGAUGACCUCCAAAGUGUCCUCCUCAGAUGUCUCCUGGCCACUGCGGCCGGCUAGCUCUCGAGAACAAACUAGAACGCAAGCAUCAAUGGACCAUCAUGAUGGCAUCCCCUACUCGUCGUCCCAGUUAGCUCACGCGACACCACAGCUAUCAAACCCUUCAAUGGGCUUCCCUGAUGUUUAGAUGACCAAAGCUUCAAUUUCCACCGCAACUCAGCUGACUGACACAAUUCACUAACUUCAAGCUGCAUGGCUUCAAAAUGGAAAAAGCAGUGAUCAACAUGAUCAGGAUGAGAAAGGAUUUCCAAGCGCCUACUGCUGAUCACGGGGCAGCCCCAGUGCACCACGGCUCCUUUACAAACCCCACAAAGGUGGCUUGGUUUAAAGGAGCUGAAUGUGGUGAUGCACAACUCCCAGCAUCUGAAGACUGAGGCAGGAGGAUUGCCAUGAGUUUGAGGCCAGCCAGGACUACAUGGUAAGUUUCAU